UACAACAUCAAGAGAAUUACCUCCAAAUAAUAUAGCUACUUUACCCACUACUGUGGCUAGUGCACUUACAACUACUAAACCAAAUAAUAUCACUUCCACAAAUGUGACAGAUAAAGGAAUAACACCAUCUAACACGCUAAAAACAACAACGUCAGCAUCAAUGGCAUCAUCUAUACACGCUGAUAUGUCUACUGCUUCGACUUCUACACUGGCUAAAACGUCUUCAUUCUCUCAAGAAAUAAAUUCUUUUACAGAUAUGUCUACAAAAACAAAUAAUACCACUACUUUAAAGGAGUCUAAUUUUACGAAAAAAGAUAUAUAUCAAUGUCUAAGCAGCCCCUGUGUUAAUGGAGCCACAUGCACUAGUAUGGAGAACUCUUUCUUUUGUCUUUGCCUUCCUGGAUAUACUGGAAAAUUGUGU